AGUGAACGCUGGCGGUAGGCCUAACACAUGCGAGUCGAACGGCAGCACAGUAGGAGCUUGCUCUUACGGGUGGCGAGUGGCGGACGGGUGAGGAAUACAUCGGAAUCUACUUUUUCGUGGGGGAUAACGUAGGGAAACUUACGCUAAUACCGCAUACGACCUACGGGUGAAAGCAGGGGAUCUUCGGACCUUGCGCGAUUGAAUGAGCCGAUGUCGGAUUAGCUAGUUGGCGGGGUAAAGGCCCACCAAGGCGACGAUCCGUAGCUGGUCUGAGAGGAUGAUCAGCCACACUGGAACUGAGACACGGUCCAGACUCCUACGGGAGGCAGCAGUGGGGAAUAUUGGACAAUGGGCGCAAGCCUGAUCCAGCUAUACCGCGUGGGUGAAGAAGGCCUUCGGGUUGUAAAGCCCUUUUGUUGGGAAAGAAAAGCAGCAGGUUAAUACCCCGCUGUUCUGACGGUACCCAAAGAAUAAGCACCGGCUAACUUCGUG
rnacentral:rRNA from 1 species